AUGGAAUUUGGGCUUUCCCAAGGAGCCUUCAGGGUGGAGGUGGCCGCUCCUUCCCUGCUCCAGUGCCGUGUGCGGCGGGAAAAGGGAAUUUUGGGAAUGUGGGGAAGUGGGAAUGACAUUCCUGGUGAUCCCUGGGGGAGCUCAGCUGCACCUGGAGCUUCCCGGCUGUGCCGAGUUCCCUGUUUCCCCUUUUCCCUGUUAUCCCAUUCCGUGUGUGCUCAGCAUUCCCUGUUUUCCCUUUUCCCUGUUAUCCCAUUCCAUGUGUGCUCAGCAUUCCCUGUUUUCCGUUACCCUGUUCCAUGGGUGCUGAGCGUUCUGUGUUUUUCCUUUUAUUCCCAUCCCCAUUAUCCCGUGCCCUGUAGUUAUCCCAUUAUCUGUUACCCCAUUCCCUGUUAUCCCAUUCCAUUAUCCCAUUCCCUGUUAUCCUGUUCCCCAUUAUCCUAUCCCCAUUAUCCCAUCCUUGUUAUCCUGUUCCCUGUUAUCCCAUUCUGUUAUCCCAUUCCCUGUUAUUCUGUUGCCAUUAUCCUGUUCCAUGUUUUCCCAUUCCAUGUUUUCCUGUUCCCUGUUACCCCGUUCCUGACCCCAUUAUUCCCGGUGAUCCCGUUCCCAGAGGGUUUAUGGAAUGUGGGCACAGUGUGGAUGCUCUGUGUAGGGUUGAGGCCCAUUCCUGACCCCAUUCCUGACCCCAUUCCCGCCAAUCCUGUUCCCAGAGGGUUUAUGGAAUGUGGGCUCAGUGUAGAUGCUGCAGGUGGGGUCAGGGCCCAUUCCUGGCCCCAUUCCUGACCCCAUUCCUGACCCCAUUCCCGCUGAUCCCGUUCCCAGAGGGUCUGUGGGACGCGGGCUCGCUGAGGGUGCUGCAGGCAGGGUUGGGGCCCAUUCCUGACCCCGUUCCUGACCCCAUUCCCGGUGAUCCCAUUCCCAGAGGGUUUAUGGAAUGUGGGCUCAGUGUGGAUGCUCUGGGUGGGGUCGGGGCCCAUUCCUGACCCC
rnacentral:lncRNA from 1 species